rnacentral:rRNA from 1 species
AUUGAACGCUGGCGGCAGGCCUAACACAUGCAAGUCGAGCGGAUGAAGGGAGCUUGCUCCUGGAUUAAGCGGCGGACGGGUGAGUAAUGCCUAGGAAUCUGCCUGGUAGUGGGGGAUAACGUCCGGAAACGGGCGCUAAUACCGCAUACGUCCUGAGGGAGAAAGUGGGGGAUCUUCGGACCUCACGCUACCAGAUGAGCCUAGGUCGGAUUAGCUAGUUGGUGGGGUAAAGGCCUACCAAGGCGACGAUCCGUAACUGGUCUGAGAGGAUGAUCAGUCACACUGGAACUGAGACACGGUCCAGACUCCUACGGGAGGCAGCAGUGGGGAAUAUUGGACAAUGGGCGAAAGCCUGAUCCAGCCAUGCCGCGUGUGUGAAGAAGGUCUUCGGAUUGUAAAGCACUUUAAGUUGGGAGGAAGGGCAGUAAGUUAAUACCUUGCUGUUUUGACGUUACCAACAGAAUAAGCACCGGCUAACUUCGUG